UACGUAGGGUGCAAGCGUUAAUCGGAAUUACUGGGCGUAAAAGCGUGCGCAGGCGGUGAUGUAAGACAGGUGUGAAAUCCCCCGGGCUUAACCUGGGGAACUGCAUUUGUGACUGCAUCGCUGGAGUGCGGCAGAGGGGAUGGAAUUCCGCGUGUAGCAGUGAAAUGCGUAGAUAUGCGGAGGAACACCGAUGGCGAAGGCAAUCCCCUGGGCCUGCACUGACGCUCAUGCACGAAAGCGUGGGGAGCAAA
rnacentral:rRNA from 1 species